AUUGAACGCUAGCGGGAUGCUUUACACAUGCAAGUCGAACGGCAGCGCGGACUUCGGUCUGGCGGCGAGUGGCGAACGGGUGAGUAAUGUAUCGGAACGUGCCCAGUAGCGGGGGAUAACUACGCGAAAGCGUAGCUAAUACCGUAUACGCCCUACGGGGGAAAGCAGGGGAUCGUAAGACCUUGCACUAUUGGAGCGGCCGAUAUCGGAUUAGCUAGUUGGUGAGGUAACGGCUCACCAAGGCGACGAUCCGUAGCUGGUUUGAGAGGACGACCAGCCACACUGGGACUGAGACACGGCCCAGACUCCUACGGGAGGCAGCAGUGGGGAAUUUUGGACAAUGGGGGCAACCCUGAUCCAGCCAUCCCGCGUGUGCGAUGAAGGCCUUCGGGUUGUAAAGCACUUUUGGCAGGAAAGAAACGUCGCGGGCUAAUACCCCGUGGAACUGACGGUACCUGCAGAAUAAGCACCGGCUAACUACGUG
rnacentral:rRNA from 1 species